AGGACGAACGCUGGCGGCGUGCUUAACACAUGCAAGUCGAGCGGUAAGGCCUUUCGGGGUACACGAACGGCGAACGGGUGAGUAACACGUGGGUGAUCUGCCCUGCACUUCGGGAUAAGCCUGGGAAACUGGGCCUAAUACCGGAUAUGACCUCCUAUCGCAUGGUGGGUGGUGGAAAGAUUUAUCGGUGCAGGAUGGGCCCGCGGCCUAUCAGCUUGUUGGUGGGGUAAUGGCCUACCAAGGCGACGACGGGUAGCCGACCUGAGAGGGUGACCGGCCACACUGGGACUGAGACACGGCCCAGACUCCUACGGGAGGCAGCAGUGGGGAAUAUUGCACAAUGGGCGAAAGCCUGAUGCAGCGACGCCGCGUGAGGGAUGACGGCCUUCGGGUUGUAAACCUCUUUCAGCAGGACGAAGCGCAAGUGACGGUACUGCAGAAGAAGCACCGGCUAACUACGUGCCAGCAGCCGC
rnacentral:rRNA from 1 species